UGGGGAAUAUUGGACAAUGGAGGGAACUCUGAUCCAGCAAUUCUGUGUGUGUGAAGAAGGUUUUAGGACUGUAAAACACUUUUAGUAGGGAAGAAAAAAAUGACGGUACCUACAGAAGAAGCAACGGCUAAAUACGUGCCAGCAGCCGCGGUAAUACGUAUGUUGCGAGCGUUAUCCGGAAUUAUUGGGCUUAAAGGGCAUCUAGGCGGUAAGACAAGUUGAAGGUGAAAACCUGUGGCUCAACCAUAGGCUUGCCUACAAAACUGUUGAACUAGAGUACCGGAAAGGUGGGUGGAACUACACGAGUAGAGGUGAAAUUCGUAGAUAUGUGUAGGAAUGCCGAUGAUGAAGAUAACUCACUGGACAGAAACUGACGCUGAAGUGCGAAAGCUAGGGGAGCAAACAGG
rnacentral:rRNA from 1 species